ensembl:lncRNA
UUGGUGAAACACAGUGUCAACUAAUGUGUCACCUGAUGGGAAGCAAGGAUAAAGUUAUUUCUGUCUAGUUUUGUGUUGUCAUAGACGCAUAACUUAUUUUAGCAUCUUUAAAACUUUAAUUUCUUUUCAAGCUUUUAAUUGUUUGUUGCAAAUGCACAUAGCCUUCAACCUGUAGGAUACAUAGCCUUAUCCAGUAGGGUUGCCACUCAGUUACAGAAAAGGUUGUUUGGGCCCACUGGCCAGAAAUUAUACUAUUUCAUGGAAUUAAGAAGCAUUUUUCCUACUUCUAUUCUGCUCAGCAACAACAUCCCCAAAUGAUGCUGAUGUUGCUGUUGUGGCCAGACGAAUUGAGGAGCUGGUCACCAGUAUUAAAAGGAGGUCCCAACGUCUUUAUAAAGACAAUGAUGGCUGCACAGGUCGUGCCCGGAUACGCCAAAAGAUCAGGGAGGAAAAGAAAUGUUUAAAUUCUGUGGUGGAUCAAUAUAAUACCAUGGUCCCUAAUGCAGAAAACCUGGACUUGGACACCAUUCUUUCAGACGACACCCUUUGGCCAUGGCAGCUUCCACAUGGUGACUCUGUAGAUCUAAGGACAAAGAGAAAGGCAUUUGACACAGUGAUGGCAGUAAGGAGACUUGAGGAGGAGAAGAGGAUUCUCAUUGCUGAGAUGAAAAAACACUGGAAAUUUCUUUGCACCCGUGCAGACACUCUAAAGGAGAUGUCAUCCCAGCUUUGCAGUGGGACAUCAAGUAUGUAUUUGAAGUUAUACUUGACAUGCAUUAUAUUUACCAGUAUGUUUCUGAAAGUCUGUAAUAUUUUUUUUCCCCCGUAUAUAAGGUGAGAUGUGGGGCCUGAGUAAAGAGGGAAUCCAAGGUCUGCAGAGCUUAAUGACGAAGAGCACACAAGCCAUCAACAAAAUACUGAAGCACACAAAGAACUGUUAUAUUCAAGUUCUGACUGGAACAGAAGUGAACUUUGAAAGUGAUUCGGAUGAAUACCAUAGUGACUCUGAACUUUCAGAAGAUUAAACCGAGGAUGUAAGAUAAACAGCUUUAAAGUGUCUUGUCAAUGGCAAGAAGAUCAUUGUAGCACCUGGACUCUUUAUGUUGAAAUGCAAUUCACAAUUCAGUUUGUCACAUACAGAAUCAGAGUACGACAAGCUUUAAAAUGCUUAGUGCGGUGCUGUGUCAUAACAAAAGAUUGGAAAUAAAAAGAGAAGAAGAGUUCAAUGUGCAACAUCCGAUUUCCGUACCUGUGUUUACAUCAGUUUAGAUAACAUUCUUUUGUUCAGUCCAGUAUCAAUGAUUUCUAGAAAAAUACAUUUUGACAUGAGUUUCUUCAUGGUCGAACUCACACGGCCUUUAGCACAGAUAAGUCUUCUCAAUAAAAUUCUUAAGCCCAGUAUAUAGUACCUCUAACCUGCAUCUGUGAUUGGUAUUUCUUGCUGUGUUGAUAGAUAUUUGUUGCCAUUGGUCCAGGAGCUGUAUAACCACAUCAUCGAGGUUGGAGGUCUCAUAAACCCAGCAUUUAAAGAGGAUGUGUGUCGCGCAGAAAAACUAAUGACAUUUCUGCUAUAGCUUGGAUCUGAAAGCUGUGCUAAAUUGAACAUUUACCCUUAUUGUUAUAACCAUCAAUUCAAUGAUAAAAUGAUUUAGUUUUUAUACUUGACUUAUUUUUCUUAUUUUCUGUCACAGAUUGUCCUUAUUUGUGUUAAUUGUAAUCUGUUUUUUUUUUCUCUAUGUUAUGGUGUUAUUGUGGUCAUUGUUUUCUGAUUUUGUCUCAUUUCUACAUUUUCAUUCAUUGUUUUAUGGAAUGAUAAUAAAACAUCUUUGAUCCUUAAGUAACCUUUGUAAUCUUUCUGUGUUGUCAACACACUAGAGGUCUUUGUUU